rnacentral:rRNA from 2 species
CAGACCUCUAAUCGGAAAAGACUACCCGCUGAGUUUAAGCAUAUCAAUAAGCCGGGAGGAA